UACGUAGGGCGCAAGCGUUGUCCGGAAUUAUUGGGCGUAAAGAGCUCGUAGGCGGUCUGUCGCGUCCGUUGUGAAAACUCGAGGCUCAACCUCGGGCUUGCAGUGGAUACGGCAGACUAGAGUGCGGUAGGGGAGACUGGAAUUCCUGGUGUAGCGGUGGAAUGCGCAGAUAUCAGGAGGAACACCGAUGGCGAAGGCAGGUCUCUGGGCCGCAACUGACGCUGAGGAGCGAAAGCGUGGGUAGCAAACGGG
rnacentral:rRNA from 1 species